AAGCUAAAAGUAGAUGGAGCAACAUGGGUGGUCAAUGAGUAUUUUGACGAGCACAACCACAAACUCAUAAAGAAGUUCGACCUGGUGAAAUUUCUGACUGCCCACAGAGGGUUCACCCCCGUCGAGAGGAAAUUCGUAAAGCUGCUACAUGAUUGUAACGUCGGUCCAUCAAGAAUGGUACAGAUACUAUCUCUCAUCCACAGCAAAAAGGGGACUCUGAGUAGCAUGCCGUACAUACCAGCUGACGUCACAAACCUACAGGCCAAGUACCGUAGAGAGAGCAAGUUGGCAGACAUAGAGGCCACAAUAGCCUACUUCCAUGCGAAAGCAAAGGAAGAUCCAGAUUUCUUCUAUAGGAUAAGGUUGGACGAUGAGGACCGUGUCAGGAACAUGUAUUGGGUGGAUGGUGCUGCAAGGAGAGCCUACAAACAUUUCCGAGAUUGCAUUUCAUUCGACGCGACGUACCUCACCAAUAUGUACAAGAUGCCAUGCGCUCCGUUCAUAGUAAUAAAUAACCACAACACAGAUGGGUACGUUUGGCUGUUCAAGACCUUCUUGGAGUGCAUGGAUGGACUUGCUCCGAUGAACAUAAUAACGGACCAAGAUUUCAGCAUGCGUGCAGGCAUAGAGGAGGUCUUUCCAUUGGCAGUGCACAGGCACUGCAGGUGGCACAUUAUAAAGAAGGCUGAGGAGACGCUAGGACCGUUCUUUGCCACUACGCAGUGCAGCGAGGGGUUCAAUGCUGUUUUAAAGCGACGGGACGGCAUUGUGUGAUGUCACAUACUAAAAGUCAUGGACAUGAACGCUGUGACACGCAUGCCCCGCCAUUUCAUAAGGAGGCGAUGGACUUGGGACGCUGAUGACGCGUUGGUGCCACAAACAACACACGCAAUUCUGGCUGUGCAUGACGAGAGACCUGAGUCAACCAUGGAAGUCGUGAGGCACGUUGUGCUGACAAAGAACUAUGCUGAGCUAAUUGAUGAAGCGUGCAAGAGUGAUGACACAGCGAGAGUCACAGAAAAACACAGGAAGGCACUGAAAAGAGAGCUUGAUGAGAUCAAAAAAAGGAAAGCCGAGGAAGCCUUACACCGGUUCCCCCGCACAUCAAGUGUGCCUUCAUCCACGGGGCCAUCGUCUGAAAACUCGGAGAUAGGAUCUGGAACAGCAAGCACACAAACCCAGGUCAGGAACCCACCCCGUUCCAUCACAAAGGGUCGUCCGAGAGAGAUAAGGUACAAGUCGGGACUGGAGAUUCAAGCAAAACACAAGAAAACGAAGAAAGGGGCGGGCAAUCAAUGA
rnacentral:rRNA from 1 species